rnacentral:misc_RNA from 1 species
GAAAUGCGAUACGUAAUGCGAAUUGCAGAUCUACCGUGAGUCAUCGAAUCUUUGAACGCACAUAGCGCCCGCCAGCACUCUGGCGGGCAUGCCCGUCCGAGCGUCGAUCACACCGCUCGAGCCCCAUGGCUCGGUGUUGGGACGCUAGAGGCCAACGGCCCCUAGGUCCCCAAAGGUAUCGCGCGGCCCCAGGCCCAGGACCCGAGCACAGUAAACACGCCGUUGAGCUGCUCCGGGACCCUGGGCUGAGGCGCUGGCCGUAAAACCCCCGACAUAGGCCCCUGCGGGCCGACUGAUGUUGACCUCGGAUCGGGUAGGACGACCCGCUGAACUUAA